CGGGACCUUAGUUGGCAACUCUGAACUGGGAAAAUGUCAGCUUCUCAAUUGAAGAAAUAUGGCCAUUUCUAUAAGCUAGUAGUGCCUUCCAUUCUACAACAAAAUAAGCUGAGGAUCCCAGAGAAGUUUGUUAGGAAAUUUGGAGACGAACUAUCAGGUGUUGCUCCACUCACUGUUCCAGAUGAUAGAAUAUGGCUUGUGACACUAAGACAAAUUGACCAGAAGUUAUGGUUUUAUAACGGUUGGCAUGAAUUUGUAGGGCACUACUCGAUCUGCACAGGCCAUUUCUUGGUCUUCAGAUAUGAAGGAAAUUCAAAUUUCAGUGUUCAUAUGUAUGUUCUGGCACCUUAUCAGACAAAAGAUCCAUUCCGCAUGACAAAGACUAUAAAGGAUUAUGGCAAGCAGCAUUAUGUGCUUGAUGAAAUAGAUGAUGAUGAUUCUGUUGAAAUAUUGGAUUCUCCUCUUAUACGUUUUGCUUCUGAUAUUUCGAAACUCAAGACGUUCGAUAAACAUGUGGAGACAAACACAACAUGCGAAAACUACAAUCUCCCAUCACUUCAGAAUUUGCAUAAUGAAGCAAGCCACUAUCCAUCAGGUGAUUCUAUUAAAUUACGAUCACCAGUUCAAUGUACUCAAGGUAUGCGUGUUUGCAUUAAUGAGCUUCGAAAUUCUACAGAUGAUGUGAGAUUGGAACUGUCACAUGAAGAAAUAAAAGAAAUUGAGAAAACUAAGAGAAAGAAGCUGAAAAUUGAUGAAGAAAACCAUCACCCUUCAAGUGCUGCUGAUAUAGCAAAGAGGUCAAGGGAGAGUGAAAAUUCUCCAGAGUCCAGACAAUGUGACACUGCUGUUUUCAAAUGAAUCAGCAAGAAAGCUUCAAAAAGUUGGAAGGAAGGAGCAGAAAGUUGAUGCUAGUAAGCUCUUUAAACUCAUAAUCUCUUUCCUUCUCAGUAUGGUUAUGAAUUGAAAAUCCUCAUUGUUCAUAGACUUGAUGAAAAGGCAGAUAAGCAGCAGCCAACAGCUCAACAUAAAGUUGAAGUUGAAAGCCGCUCUAGAUAUUAUUAUAAAACAGCUUCUGUGAAAAAGAGAACUUUAACAAAUGAGGAUCAAAAAAGGGUGAAAACCGCAGCCACAGCAUUCGAGUCUGUUAACCCUUUCUGUGGGGUUGUCCUGCGUCCAUCAUAUAUAUAUACAGAGGUUGCACCCUUCAUUUGCCAUCCUGCUUUGCCAAAAAGCAUCUAAAUGGGUUUUCAGGCUGGAUUAAACUUCAGUCUUUUGAUGGGAAACAGUGGCCUAUCCGAUGCAUUCAUAGAGCUGGUAGUGCUAAACUAAGCCGGGGAUGGUAUGAAUUCUCAGUGAAGAAUGAUUUGGGGGAAGGGGAUGUUUGUGUGUUUGAGCUGCUUAGCCUGAGGGAUAUUGUGCUGAAAGUUACAGUGUUUCGUGUUUUCUAAUGACAAGGUAGACUGACUAUCAUGACUGGCAAAAUCUGAUGAAUUAAGAAACUUUGACCAAUGUUCUUGCUGGUGUUAGAACGUUUUCAUGCUCUCUCUUAGGUUUUUCUUUUCUUAACAGAAGAAACGCUUACUCCCUUUUUAACU
rnacentral:misc_RNA from 1 species